rnacentral:rRNA from 1 species
UACAGAGGGUGCAAGCGUUGUUCGGAAUUAUUGGGCGUAAAGCGCGUGUAGGCGGCUUUGCAAGUCGGAUGUGAAAGCCCUCGGCUCAACCGAGGAAGUGCGUUCGAAACUGCAGAGCUUGAGUCCUGGAGAGGAAGGUGGAAUGCUUGGUGUAGAGGUGAAAUUCGUAGAUAUCAAGCGGAACACCGGUGGCGAAGGCGGCCUUCUGGACAGUGACUGACGCUGAGACGCGAAAGCGUGGGGGAGCGAACAGG